GUAACAAAUUUCCUUGUCAAUUGUGUCUUUGAGUAUGGCUAUCCUGAAACUUUUUGCCAUCCAUGGACACUGACUGUCUUGUUUUGGUCCUCUGAUAACUUUGAAGAUUGUGACAUCAGAAUAGAGGAAAAACUUUCAGUACUCACAGAGAGCUGAAAUGAUCAUGAAUAUCAAGCAGAACAGGAACUAACAUAAUGGACUAAACUAAUAGAAGACUGAAGUAAUCUUUUUAAGUUUUGCUUAAAACAUUGGUGAUCCUUUGUUUUGUUUUUCAGAGUCAACAACUUUAAGUUAUUUACAAAUUUUAACAAUUGAGUAUACUCCUAUGAACAAAAUUUGGAGCAUAUUUGUUUCUCUCUACCUUAUUUCUACAGAAUUUGGAAGCUAUUUGUGAGCAUUCUUAACUUUUGACAAUACAAUUAGUAGCAUAUGUGCAAUAAGAAUCUGUUUUCAUUUGUAACAGGACACAAUUGGAGAACUGGUUAUUUUACCAAGACUUUUACUGGAAUGGUGUGUUUUCCAUUUAGGAAUCAAACUUACUGAGCCAAUAAAACUCCUUGGAAAAACUGUCCACAUACCUUUGUCUACACAGUUCCUGUACAGGGUUCCUGACCUGUGAGUACACAUUCGUAAGAUUUUAUCAUCAGACUUCAUGGUAUAAAGAGACAUCACCUGAACACCUACCUACAUCUGACAGCCCCUGUUUUGGAAGAUGCAUCUGCUUUAUGCUUUCUUUAUUUUGCUCUCUCUUAGCAAUGGUUUUAAUCCUAACUGUCAUGGAAGAUGUAACUGUGAUUCUGUGCAGUCAGUGUAAUGCUACAGACUAACGGAGGUAUCAUCAAGUAUUCCUUCUGCCAUCAAGAGGCUCUACAUUAGCCACAGAAAAAUUCAACACCUCCAGCUGUCUGACUUCACCCGAAUGUUGGCUGUAGAAGAUUCUAUUCUGCUGGCCAGUGGAACAGAGUCAGUAGAAAAUGACACCUUCAAAGCUCUGAGUGCUUUGAAGACCUUAGAACUCUGGAAAAAAAUAAGUUAAGAAGAGUCCCUAGUGCUCUCCCAGCCAGUCUUGAAGUGUGAAAACUAAAUGAUAACUCAAUAAAUGUCAUACAUGGAUCAGAUUUUGAAGGACUGAAGAAAUUAAAAAUCCUUGAACUUUAAAACAACCUGAUCUCUUCCUUCUCUCCCAGCACACUCUCCUCCCUUGUCAGUUUGCAAAGUUUGAUGUUGGAUGUAACAGCAUAGAGGCUGUAGCUGGACCCCUGAUACUUCCCCAUCUGACACACAUGAGCCUGGAGAAUAAUAAGGUACAUCUUAUACGACAGCUUCUUUAUUUCUCUAUAGUCUUUGCAAUUUCUCAGUUUCAGUGGUAACUUUCUGACUAAAGUUCCUGUCAACUACCCAAAUCCUUGCUAUCUUUAAAGAUGGAAAGAAACCAGCUCGGAAUGGUAAGGUUUCGAGACACGAAACACUCGAAGAAUCUUUGCCAUCUUUACCUGUCAGAAAACUUAUUCUCUUCCAUCAAUGGGGCACAGCUCCUUACCAAUUUAACUACUCUUGAGCUGUCCCCAAACCAGCUCUAAAUGUUGCCCUUCAGACUACCAGUAAAGCCACAAAAACUUCAUUGUAGCGAUAAUCUGAUUCAGAGAGUUACAGCACAAGACUUCUAGGACCUCCAAGACUUGAAACGUUUGUUUCUGGACAAUAACAUUGUGAGUUUGUUCCAAGCUGGAGCCCUGCAGAGGCGUUCUCAGCUCUCCAACCUGGCCCUGGAGCCGAACCUGCUGUUGUCCGUACCCCUAAGGCUCCCAGGGACCUUAACCAGGCUGGACCUAAAAGGCAAUGUCAUCCAGAAUAUUGCUGAAUGGGAGCUCAAGGACCUCAAACAGCUUCAUGUUCUAAACCUGAGGAACAACAAGAUCUCUGCCUUAGACCUAAAAGCCUUAGAGGAUCUGCCUUGUCUCAGGCACCUGUACCUGGAUGGAAAUCCCUGGAAUUGCACCUGCAGUCUCCUAAAAGCAAGAGAAGUCCUGAUGGCCAAGGGCAAGAUAUAAGGGGAGGACAAUGUGCAGCACCAGCUGAACAGGAAGGGAAGAGCUGGAUGUCUUCCAAGAUCAUGAGGCAAUGUGAGCAUCACUUUCAUCUGACCAAGAAAAGCAAAGAGACCAAAAAGAAAUCAAAACCCGAAGACCCCUCCAGCAUCAGAAUCAACAUGGAUGAUGAUUAUGACUAUGAAAUAGAUUAAGUGAACUUUGCUCACAGUUCAGAAAGUGUUUUUUAAUGUUCAGUCUCUUAAGUAGGAAUGUGCUAUACACUUAGAUAUGCAAGACUCUCUUUUGUAGUGGUUCUUAUUUUUGUUUGAAGAAUGUUUUAAGAAUGAGGGUUAAGAUGAGAUGGGGGAAGAAAACAGAAAAGAACAAUAGUAAGAAGAUGUAAGAUUCCUUCCAUUUUAAAAGUAAUUUGUGUGGCUGGCAAGAUGGCCGAAUAGGAACAGCUCCAGUCUGCAGCUCCCAGAGAGAUCAAUACAGAAGGUGGGUGAUUUCUGCAUUUCCAACUGAGGUACCUAGCUCAUCUCAUUGGGACUGGUUAGACAGUGGGUGUAGCCCACAGAGGACAAGCCAAAGGACGGUGGGGAGUCACCUCACCCGGGAAGCACAAGGGGUUGGGGAAAUCCCUCCCCAAGCCAAGGGAAGCCGUGAGGGACUCUGCCAUGAAAGACAGUGCAUUCCGGUCCAGAUAUUAUGCUCUUCCCAGUCUUCGCAACCUGCAGACCAGGAGAUUCCCUCAGGUACCUACAGCACCAGGGCCUUGGGGUUCAAGCACAAAACUGGGCAGCCAUUUGGACAGACACUGAGCUAGCUGCAGGACUG